CGGGUCCUACGGGACGCAGCAGUGAGGAAUAUUAGUCAAUGGGCGGAAGCCUGAACCAGCCAAGUCGCGUGAGGGAAUAAGGCCCUACGGGUCGUAAACCUCUUUUGCCGGGGAGCAAGGGCGGGGACGUGUCCCGGCCCGGAGAGUACCCGGAGAAAAAGCAUCGGCUAACUCCGUGCCAGCAGCCGCGGUAAUACGGAGGAUGCGAGCGUUAUCCGGGUUUAUUGGGGUUAACG
rnacentral:rRNA from 1 species